CUCAGUUUCCCCUGGUCUGUUUCUUUUCCUAACUCCAUUUCGCCUGGUCCGUUAGAAAUUGUACGUACGUCCAGGGGGGCACCCGGCCCUGGGCAUUCAGCCCAUCCUCUGCGGGCAUUUGGCCCCCCGCUGGCCCUGCAGUAUGGGAGACUUCCCUACCCCAGAACCCAGGACAUCUGCAGGCAUCUGGCCCACCCCUGGCCCUGCAGUGUGAGAGACGUCCCUCACCCAGGCUCCCAGGCCGUCUUCCCUGACUUGGUGCGCUUGGGACACUGGGCGCUCCUCUCAGGAUUAGUUGGGAAGUUGCGCAGACAUGGGGAACCAGCCCUCAAAAGCGGAGGCCCAGACCCCAUUGCGGUGCCUCAUUUCUAAUUUGGCUACUCUAUUUGUCCUGGGAAGUUCGCAAAUAAAAGCUAGUCUUUCUUUGCUCUGAGGCCAGGCCUCAGUAUCCCUUGGACAAUCAAUCUUGCUGGCCCCCUGAGGGAAGUUUCAAUUGUAGCCUCCUCACCACCUUAAUUAAUUAUUGCCACUAGAGCAGAAAUUAGAGUGAAAUCACAUAUGUGCAGGCUUUUUGGACUUUGCACUCCAGUCCAAACCUUUAUGUUGUGUUCAGUAACUCAGGUUCUCCUACCCCGAUCUCCAGUUAAUCUCCCACCUCCCUCAACUCAUGAUCCCCUCCCCCUCUCUCCACCACCAUCUUUAAGUCCCUUGUCUUCACAUGUGUCGCCGCCAUCUUAAAAGUACUACAUUCUCAACCAUGCCGCUGUCCUGCUCUACUCUUCCGGUGGCUGCAACACCCCCUCCCCCUCUCCUUCCACCUUCACUGCCCUCUUCCCCCACCAGAAAACGCUCCUCCCGCCCUCUGGUUCCAGAAGCCACGGACUAGAAGCUGAAGAGAGGGAAGGCAAUUGGAUAUCAGUGACUCAAGUCGUUACAUCGGUUCCUCCAACAGCGGCUAACCCAGAUAACCCGGGUCGCCACCAACCAGAUGUUGCUUCACUGUUAUGCACCUCUUCCCACUGAACCUCCUCCUUCGGCCUAAUACCAGCCUCAAACCUCCAUGACACCCCUUAUCAGCCGGAAGUAGCCAGAUCGAGUCAUCACCCAUUAUGACAAAAAGGCUGGAAUGUUUGGCUGUAGGGAUCAGGGGAAGGGGUGAGCCUAAUGGACAAGCUCGGGCCUCACCAAAUGAUGCAAAGAGACCAACAGGUUCUGGUCUGACAACAUUCCGGAGCCUGAUCGGAUAACCCUCCCAACUAGAGCCCUUCCCCCAAGCUAAAUGAUUAGUGGUAACUUUCCAGUACCUGGCUAAAGGCCAAUGAGAGACCCCCAUGUACCCUAAAUGAGCCAAUCCUUGCACCAAUGUACACCUUUGCUCUCCCUCCCCCUGCCUUUAAAAACUUGCUGCCUGCCCUGCUGGGUGUGACUUCUCUGACCUAUAGUACCCAGGCUGUGGGAACAUCACCCAGGGGUGACAUUCAAAUAAAUUACCUGGCCCUUU